CCAUGCCCUCUGCUGUGCCCUCAUGGGUGGGAUCUGCUCCAGCGAAAAAGGAAAGAUUAAGUGAUGUGGAGAGGAGAGAGAUAAAAGGAAACUCCAAUGACCAGGUGGCCUGAGGUCUCCAAUGACCAGCCUGUCUGCCAAGUCCAGGAAGAGGAAAGAGUAACACCAACAAGACAGCAGAGGGAAAAGGCACAGCAGCGGCAGCCACUGGAGGCUGUGAAGAAAGAUGACCUGCAGGUGGUGCUCAGGGCAAGGCUGGAAGUGGCUGGGCCUGAUUUUGUUUAGGAAAAGUAUGAAGCUGGGACUAGGGUGUCGGAGAGGCUGAUGCACCUGUUCAGAAGCUAGUUGGUACCCAGGAUUCCUGCUCAGGAUCCUGAAUGCAUCAGCUAAGCAAAUCCAACAUUUCUAGAAUAAAGGGUUUUCUUGCUCUGAA
rnacentral:lncRNA from 1 species